CGUGCCGUAUCAUGCAUAACCUUUUUUCCAUUCGUUUUCAGCAUUGCAUACACACACACACACACACACGCAUGGGUACACUCAAUUUGCGCUCCACAGACAGCGAGAAAGAUGGAAAAGCAAAGAACUCCUUUGUUUGCGUUUUAUUGGCAUUCUCUUGCAUCCGCAAGAACACGGCGGACCAGCAGACACACAAAAAGAAACAGUAACUCCUUUGACGCACCCCGAUAGUGUAGCACAACCAGUUCGUGUAAUUUUCCAAAACUUCCAGAGUAUUACAACGGGACAAAAAUAUGUAAGUAAAGCCCAAAAUCGCAGGCCAAGAAAAAAUUUUACAAAAAAAGAGAAAAAAAAAAACAAAAUAAUACACGCACACACCAACAAAAUGAAUGAUACGAAGUUCCACGCACGUCCACCCGCUUUACCUUUGCACCACCGACAACAAGACGACCUGAUCAUAGAGAUGUCAGUCAGUCCUCUGCAGUUGCUAUCGGCCCCCAAGUUCAGCCAUUUCCCCAUCGUUUACCAUCGAUAGCAUUAUCGGUUGUUUUGCGAAUGCAACCCAGCAACCUCAACCCAGCUAAUUGGAAUACAUUUACCUGUGCUUGAUCGGGAAACACUUCUGUAGGAUAUAUGCAUUCAAAUACAGCUAAAUUGCACAAAUA